rnacentral:rRNA from 1 species
AGUGAACGCUGGCGGCAGGCCUAACACAUGCAAGUCGAGCGGCAGUGCGGUGUAGCAAUACACUGGCGGCGAGCGGCGGACGGGUGAGGAAUGCGUCGGAAUCUGCCUCUUUGUGGGGGAUAACGUAGGGAAACUUACGCUAAUACCGCAUACGACCUACGGGUGAAAGUGGGGGACCUUCGGGCCUCACGCAGAGAGAU